AUGGCGGGACAUCUUGCUUCUGACUUCGCCUUCUCGCCCCCGCCGGGAGGGUCAGAGCCGGGCUGGGUUGAUCCUCGGACCUGGAUGAGCUUUCAAGGGCCUCCCGGUGGGUCGGGGAUCGGGCCGGGGGUUGUGCCCAGCGCCUAGGUGUGGGGGCUUCCUCCGUGCCGCCCGCCCUAUGACUUGUGCGGAGGGAUGGCCUACUGUGUGCCGCAGGUUGGAGUGGGGCCCGUGCCCCCAGGAGGCCUGGAGACGCCUCAACCCGAGGGCGAGGCAGGAGCCGGGGUGGAGAGCAACUCUGAGGGGGCCUCCCCGGACCCCUGCGCCGUCCCGACAGGCGCCGCGAAGCUGGAGCCGAACCCUGAGGAGUCCCAGCACAUCAAAGCUCUUCAGAAAGACCUUGAACAAUUUGCCAAGCUCCUAAAGCAGGAGAGGAUCACCCUAGGAUAUACCCAGGCCUAUGUGGGGCUCACCCUGGGGGUUCUCUUUGGAAAGGUGUUCAGCCAAACGACUAUCUGCCGUUUUGAGGCUUUGCAGCUCAGUUUCAAGAACAUGUGUAAGCCGCGGCCCCUGCUGCAGAAGUGGGUGGAGGAAGCUAACAACGAGAUCUGCAGGAGAUAUGCAAGGCAGAGACCCUUGUGCAGGCCCGGAAGAGAAAGCGGACGAGUAUCGAGAACCGAGUGGGAGGCAACCUGGAGAGCAUGUUCCUGCAGUGCCCGAAGCCCACCCUGCAGCAAAUUAGCCACAUCGCCCAGCAGCUCGGGCUGGAGAAGGACGUGGUCCGAGUGUGGUUCUGCAACCGUCGCCAGAAGGGCAAACGAUCAAGCAGUGACUACUCCCAACGAGAGGAUUUUGAGGCUGCUGGGUCUCCUUUCGCGGGGGGACCCGUAUCCUUUCCUCUGGUGCCAGGGCCCCAUUUUGGUACCCCAGGCUACGGGGGCCCUCACUUCACUACACUGUACUCUUCGGUCCCAUUCCCUGAGGGUGAGGCCUUUCCCUCGGUGUCUGUCACCGCUCUGGGCUCUCCUAUGCAUUCAAACUGA